AGUUUGAUCCUGGCUCAGGAUGAACGCUGGCGGNAUGCCUAACACAUGCAAGUCGAACGGACACCUUCGGGUGUCAGUGGCGAACGGGUGAGUAACGCGUAGGAAUCUACCCCUGGGAGGGGGAUAACAGCUGGAAACGGCUGCUAAUACCCCAUACAGGCGCAAGCUGAAAGGAGCAAUCCGCCCAGGGAUGAGCCUGCGUCGGAUUAGCUAGUUGGUGGGGUAAUGGCCUACCAAGGCGACGAUCCGUAGCGGGUCUGAGAGGAUGGCCCGCCACACUGGGACUGAGACACGGCCCAGACUCCUACGGGAGGCAGCAGUGGGGAAUUUUCCGCAAUGGGCGAAAGCCUGACGGAGCAAUGCCGCGUGAGGGAAGAAGGCCUUCGGGUCGUAAACCUCUUUUCUGGGGGACGAAGUUCUGACGGUACCCCAGGAAUAAGCCUCGGCUAACUCUGUGCCAGCAGCCGCGGUAAGACAGAGGAGGCGAGCGUUAUCCGGAGUCAUUGGGCGUAAAGGGUACGUAGGCGGCUAGUCAAGUCUGAGGUUAAAGACCACAGCUUAACUGUGGAAAGGCCUUGGAAACUGGCCGGCUAGAGUGAGGUAGGGGUUGCGGGAAUUCCCGGUGUAGCGGUGAAAUGCGUAGAGAUCGGGAAGAACACCUGAGGCGGAAGCGCGCAACUGGGCCUCAACUGACGCUGAGGUACGAAAGCUAGGGGAGCGAAUGGGAUUAGAUACCCCAGUAGUCCUAGCCGUAAACGAUGGACACUAGACGUUGGCCGUAUCGACCCGGUCAGUGUCGGANCUAACGCGUUAAGUGUCCCCCCUGGGGAGUACGCACGCAAGUGUGAAACUCAAAGGAAUUGACGGGGG
rnacentral:rRNA from 1 species